UACGGAGGAUGGGAGCGUUAUCCGGAUUUAUUGGGUUUAAAGGGUGCGUAGGCGGGAUGCCGAGUCAGCGGUAAAAAUGCGGUGCUCAACGCCGUCGAGCCGUUGAAACUGGCGUUCUUGAGUGGGCGAGAAGUAUGCGGAAUGCGUGGUGUAGCGGUGAAAUGCAUAGAUAUCACGCAGAACUCCGAUUGCGAAGGCAGCAUACCGGCGCCCUACUGACGCUGAGGCACGAAAGCGUGGGUAUCGAACAGG
rnacentral:rRNA from 1 species